rnacentral:misc_RNA from 1 species
GUAAAAAAUAUGAAAUUAGCUACGAAAAUUAUCGAUACGUACCAAGAGAUAUAUGCCACAAGCAAUCAAGAAAGUCCAAUAACGUCCAAGAUAAGCAUCAGCAAAGUAGGCUCCCAAAAUAGGAGUCAUCCAUAUAGUUCCAACCCAAUUUGUGACAUUAUUUGAUGAUUUAACAGUGCCUUGAUGCAAUUUUUCUGUUAAAUAUAUUACUAAAUUUGAUGAUAUACCAUAGUAUGCCAUACGUUCGAAAACUUCAUAUACAACAAUGAAGGAACAAGCUUUCCAUCCACCAGUAUUGGAUCUAAGUAUAGGAUUGCCUUUGAGAUUCACAGUUCCA